rnacentral:snRNA from 1 species
GUGCUCGCUUCGGCAGCACAUAUACUAAAUUGGAAUGAUACAGAGAAGAUUAGCAUGGCCCUUGCGCAAGAUGACAUGAAAAUUUGUGAAGUAUUCUAUUAAAAA